GUGAACGUACGAUGCUUCCAUUGCACCCUCUCAGUACCACUGUCGUUGAUUUUCGCUCUGCUCGACUCACUCUCUCUCGCAUGCAUAUGCCUUCGGCUUCUCUUUUACUGUAAUCUGCAAGAUAUCUGGGUCUGCUGUCUUUCGUCGUCCCGGAGCUGGAAAAAUGGCGGGAGGCGUGAGAAGAAACAUUUCAGCUGCAUCAGCGACGUCUCGCACCAGAAGAGCUAAGCAGAGCUCUCCUCUUAUACUGCCUUCAGGGAUUUUCACCAAAUUGUUGGUGGUUUUAUUUGUUGGAGUUCUUGCAUUGGCUUAUCAAGCGAUCAAACCUGCUGCACCAAAGAUUCCGGGAACUCCAGAUGGUCCCCUAGUCACAGCACCGAGGAUAAAGCUUAGAGAUGGUAGACAUUUAGCAUACAAGGAACAUGGCGUGCCAAAGGACAUAGCGAAGUAUAAAAUUGUAUUUGUCCAUGGAUUCGAUUCUUGUCGGCAUUAUGCUGUUGUGGCCAACACUUUAUCUCAGGAGAUUAUCAAUGGCUUGGGUAUAUACAUUGUGUCCUUUGAUCGACCUGGUUAUGGUGAGAGUGACCCUGACCCAAAACGAACACCGAAGAGCAUCGCAUUAGACAUAGAAGAGCUUGCUGAUAAAUUGGGUCUAGGCUCGAGAUUUUACGUGAUUGGAUUUUCCAUGGGAGGGCAGGUGGUGUGGGGCUGCCUGAAGUACAUCCCUCACAGACUAGCAGGAGCAGUCCUUCUGGCUCCAGUCGUCAACUACUGGUGGCCUGGUUUUCCAACAAACCUGUCAACUGAGGCAUACAACCAACAGUUCGGCAAGAUCAAUGGACUCUUCGGGUCGCUCAUUACACUCCCUGGCUUACCUAUUGGUGGAACACUCAAAAAUGGUUUCCUGCUUGUAGUGUCAUCGAUCAUCAUCCUGAUAUUUUCUCUCCUCCUGACAAGGCACUCCUUUCCAAGCUUCCCCCGGGAGGACCAUAUGCGGCACAGGUAAGACAGCAAGGUGAAUACGAGAGUCUCCACCGAGACCUGAUGGUCGGGUUCAGUACCUGGGAGUUUGACCCAAUGGAUUUGGAAAACCCAUUUCCCAAUGGCGAAGGCUCCAUACAUCUAUGGCACGGCGACGAUGAUUUGCUUGUGCCCGUCAUGCUGCAGCGUUUCAUCGCCCACCGGCUUCCCUGGAUUAAGUAUCAUGAGCUACCUCAGACUGGCCACAUGUUUCCCCAAGCCGACGGCAUGUGUGAUGCUAUAGUCAGGACCCUUCUAGUCGGGGAAACCACCACAUCCACAUAAAUCUAUGCAGAUAGUUUGGAUUCCUGAUGCCAUAUAGAUUAUCGACGCAUCUGUUACAUCGCAUCUGUUACAUCAGGCACUGUGUCGACCCUUUGUUCUGAACACCAGAGAUGCUGUUCUUUCUUUUUUCUUUUGCGCCCCCAUCAUUCACUGCAUUGUAUGCGAUGAUCAUUGGUGGAUCUUCAAACCAACCGUUUCAACUGAACCUUUUCUCGGCUGUUGGAAGAAGUUGCUGUUAUC